GGUCAAGUUACAAAGGGCGCACGGGGGAUGUCUUGGUAUCGAGAGGCGAUGAAGAGCGUGGAAGUCUGCGAAAAGCUUGGGGGAGUCGACAAACAGGUUUUGAUCCCGAGAUGCUCGAAUUAGCGUAUACUGAAUACAUAGGUAUACGUGGCCAACCCAGGGAAUUGAAACAUCUUAGUACCUGGUGGAAAAGAAAGAAAAAUCGAUUCCGUUAGUAGCGGCGAGCGAAAGCGGAAUAGCCCAAACCGAGAGGGUUUCCUUCUCGGGGUUGUAGGGCCAUUCACAUGGGAGUUACAAAGCGACAGCUAGCUGAAGUGUCCAGGAACGGCACACCAUAGAUGGUGACAGUCCAGUAAGCGAAAGUUGAGCGCCUCCCGAAUGGUACCUGAGUAAGGCCAGUCACGUGAAACCUGGUCUGAAUCUGCGGGGACCAUCCCGCAAGGCUAAAUACUCCUCGAUGACCGAUAGUGAACUCAGUACAGCGAUGGAAAGGUGAGAAGAACCCCUGUUAGGGGAGGAUUAGUGAACCUGAAACCGUGUGCUUACAAGCGGUCGGAGCACUAUUAAAAGUGUGACGGCGUGCCUUUUGCAAAAUGAUCCGGCGAGUAGCGUUUGCAGCAGGUUAAGA
rnacentral:rRNA from 1 species